UGGGGAAUAUUGGUCAAUGGGCGCAAGCCUGAACCAGCCAUGCCGCGUGCAGGAAGACGGUCCUAUGGAUUGUAAACUGCUUUUAUUCGGGAAUAAACCUCUUUACGUGUAGAGAGCUGAAGGUACCGAAUGAAUAAGCACCGGCUAACUCCGUGCCAGCAGCCGCGGUAAUACGGAGGGUGCAAGCGUUAUCCGGAAUCAUUGGGUUUAAAGGGUCCGCAGGCGGUCUUAUAAGUCAGUGGUGAAAGCCUACAGCUCAACUGUAGAACUGCCAUUGAUACUGUAAGACUUGAAUUCGAUCGAAGUGGGCGGAAUAUGACAUGUAGCGGUGAAAUGCUUAGAUAUGUCAUAGAACACCGAUAGCGAAGGCAGCUCACUAGGUCUGGAUUGACGCUCAGGGACGAAAGCGUGGGGAGCAAACA
rnacentral:rRNA from 1 species